UUAGAACCAAGUUGAUUUUUUAUAGACUUGUAGUUUAGUUCUGAAGUUUAUUUAUUUGGAAUUUGUCCUCAAUACAAAUAUGUCUCAGAUUAAGUGGCAAGACUUUUUAAACAUUUUGACUCUAAAGGGCAAGGAUACAGGUAAAUUAAAAAAAAUUAAAUGUGCCACAGAAGAUCAAGUAAAAUUUAUAAUAUGUUAUGAUGCCAACAAAGCAUAUUUGGAAGAAUGGUUAACAGAACAUACUAGAAUUGAAGGGAAGUCAUCUACCAAAUCUGCAGACCUGCGUUUAAGCGGCAAUAAAAUUUACCAGUUGGGCAAAGAUGAAGAAGCAUUAACUAUUUAUAAUCAAAGUGUCAUAUCUGCACCAUUCAACAGCAAACCAGUUUGCUCUUGCUCUAGCAAACAGAUCAGCAGUUUCUCACACGGUUGAACUACAGUGAAGAGGCCAUUAAAGAUAUAGACUUAGCACUGAAGCAUGGUGAUAAUGAUAUUCCAAGGACCAAACUCCUUAAAAGGAAAGCUGUGCUCCUUAGCAAACUCCACAUGUUUGAGGAAUGUAUUGAACUUGUCAAAUCACUGUGUCCUGGUGAAG